rnacentral:rRNA from 1 species
CGGGGGAACUGAAACAUCUAAGUACCCCGAGGAAAAGAAAUCAACCGAGAUUCCCCCAGUAGCGGCGAGCGAACGGGGAGCAGCCCAGAGUCUGAAUCAGCUUGUGUGUUAGUGGAACGGUCUGGAAAGUCCGACGGUACAGGGUGAUAGUCCCGUACACCAAAAUGCACAGGUUGUGAACUCGAAGAGUAGGGCGGGACACGUGGUAUCCUGUCUGAAUAUGGGGGGACCAUCCUCCAAGGCUAAAUACUCCUGACUGACCGAUAGUGAACCAGUACCGUGAGGGAAAGGCGAAAAGAACCCCGGCGAGGGGAGUGAAAAAGAACCUGAAACCGUGUACGUACAAGCAGUGGGAGCACCUUCGGGUGUGACUGCGUACCUUUUGUAUAAUGGGUCAGCGACUUAUAUUCUGUAGCAAGGUUAACCGUAUAGGGGAGCCGCAGGGAAACCGAGUCUUAACUGGGCGUUAAGUUGCAGGGUAUAGACCCGAAACCCGGUGAUCUAGCCAUGGGCAGGUUGAAGGUUGGGUAACACUAACUGGAGGACCGAACCGACUAAUGUUGAAAAAUUAGCGGAUGACUUGUGGCUGGGGGUGAAAGGCCAAUCAAACCGGGAGAUAGCUGGUUCUCCCCGAAAGCUAUUUAGGUAGCGCCUCGUGAAUUCAUCUUCGGGGGUAGAGCACUGUUUCGGCUAGGGGGUCAUCCCGACUUACCAACCCGAUGCAAACUACGAAUACCGAAGAAUGUUAUCACGGGAGACACACGGCGGGUGCUAACGUCCGUCGUGAAGAGGGAAACAACCCAGACCGCCAGCUAAGGUCCCAAAGUCAUGGUUAAGUGGGAAACGAUGUGGGAAGGCACAGACAGCCAGGAUGUUGGCUUAGAAGCAGCCAUCAUUUAAAGAAAGCGUAAUAGCUCACUGGUCGAGUCGGCCUGCGCGGAAGAUGUAACGGGGCUAAACCAUGCACCGAAGCUGCGGCAGCGACACGAUGUGUUGUUGGGUAGGGGAGCGUUCUGUAAGCCUGCGAAGGUGACCUGUGAGGGUUGCUGGAGGUAUCAGAAGUGCGAAUGCUGACAUAAGUAACGAUAAAGCGGGUGAAAAGCCCGCUCGCCGGAAGACCAAGGGUUCCUGUCCAACGUUAAUCGGGGCAGGGUGAGUCGACCCCUAAGGCGAGGCCGAAAGGCGUAGUCGAUGGGAAACAGGUUAAUAUUCCUGUACUUGGUGUUACUGCGAAGGGGGGACGGAGAAGGCUAUGUUAGCCGGGCGACGGUUGUCCCGGUUUAAGCAUGUAGGCUGGUUAUCCAGGCAAAUCCGGAUAAUCAAGGCUGAGGUGUGAUGACGAGGCACUACGGUGCUGAAGUAACAAAUGCCCUGCUUCCAGGAAAAGCCUCUAAGCAUCAGGUAACAUCAAAUCGUACCCCAAACCGACACAGGUGGUCAGGUAGAGAAUACCAAGGCGCUUGAGAGAACUCGGGUGAAGGAACUAGGCAAAAUGGUGCCGUAACUUCGGGAGAAGGCACGCUGGUGUGUAGGUGAAGUCCCUGCGGAUGGAGCUGAGACCAGUCGAAGAUACCAGCUGGCUGCAACUGUUUAUUAAAAACACAGCACUGUGCAAACACGAAAGUGGACGUAUACGGUGUGACGCCUGCCCGGUGCCGGAAGGUUAAUUGAUGGGGUUAUCCGUAAGGAGAAGCUCUUGAUCGAAGCCCCGGUAAACGGCGGCCGUAACUAUAACGGUCCUAAGGUAGCGAAAUUCCUUGUCGGGUAAGUUCCGACCUGCACGAAUGGCGUAAUGAUGGCCAGGCUGUCUCCACCCGAGACUCAGUGAAAUUGAACUCGCUGUGAAGAUGCAGUGUACCCGCGGCAAGACGGAAAGACCCCGUGAACCUUUACUAUAGCUUGACACUGAACAUUGAGCCUUGAUGUGUAGGAUAGGUGGGAGGCUUUGAAGCGUGGACGCCAGUCUGCGUGGAGCCAACCUUGAAAUACCACCCUUUAAUGUUUGAUGUUCUAACGUGGGCCCCUAAUCGGGGUUGCGGACAGUGUCUGGUGGGUAGUUUGACUGGGGCGGUCUCCUCCCAAAGCGUAACGGAGGAGCACGAAGGUUAGCUAAUCCUGGUCGGACAUCAGGAGGUUAGUGCAAUGGCAUAAGCUAGCUUGACUGCGAGCGUGACGGCGCGAGCAGGUGCGAAAGCAGGUCAUAGUGAUCCGGUGGUUCUGAAUGGAAGGGCCAUCGCUCAACGGAUAAAAGGUA